UGGCCUUGACAUUGAUAGAAUAACUCAGAGACGAGUUAGUGCCCUUCGGGGAGCUUGAAAACAGGUGCUGCACGGCUGUCGUCAGCUCGUGUCGUGAGAUGUUGGGUUAAGUCCCGCAACGAGCGCAACCCUCGUCCUUAGUUGCCAGCAGUUCGGCUGGGCACUCUAAGGAGACUGCCUUCGUAAGGAGGAGGAAGGUGAGGACGACGUCAAGUCAUCAUGGCCCUUACGGCCAGGGCUACACACGUGCUACAAUGGGGCGUACAGAGAGCUGCGAUACCGCGAGGUGGAGCUAAUCUCUUAAAGCGUCUCUCAGUUCGGAUUGUUCUCUGCAACUCGAGAGCAUGAAGC
rnacentral:rRNA from 1 species